AUUCAAACAAAAAUGGCUUUGUCAAAGUUUCAACUUGCAGCCCUCCUUCUCAUCACAUAUUCUCUCAUGUUCACUUCUCAAGUGUUGAAGGCAGACGAUAUUAUGCCUGGAGUGUGUAAUUUUAGAGGUCCAUGCAAGUUUAACUAUGAUUGUACGGAUCGAUGUGGACCGCCUGAAUUCCCAAAAGAUACUACAUGCACAUGCAUAGCUCCUCUUGGCAGUGGACUUCUUUGUUGUUGUAGUUUUGGUUAAAUAUUAAUAUUAUCAUUAUAAAGUAAUAAAGUGGAGUCUUUAU